AUUGAACGCUGGCGGCAUGCUUUACACAUGCAAGUCGAACGGUAACAGGCCGCAAGGUGCUGACGAGUGGCGAGCGGGUGAGUAAUGCAUCGGAACGUGCCCAGUCGUGGGGGAUAACUACUCGAAAGAGUAGCUAAUACCGCAUACGAUCUAUGGAUGAAAGCGGGGGACCGUAAGGCCUCGCGCGAUUGGAGCGGCCGAUGUCAGAUUAGGUGGUUGGUGGGGUAAAGGCUCACCAAGCCAACGAUCUGUAGCUGGUCUGAGAGGACGACCAGCCACACUGGGACUGAGACACGGCCCAGACUCCUACGGGAGGCAGCAGUGGGGAAUUUUGGACAAUGGGCGCAAGCCUGAUCCAGCAAUGCCGCGUGCAGGAAGAAGGCCUUCGGGUUGUAAACUGCUUUUGUACGGAACGAAACGGCUCUGGUUAAUACCCGGGGCUAAUGACGGUACCGUAAGAAUAAGCACCGGCUAACUACGUG
rnacentral:rRNA from 1 species